AUGUACUCCGGCUCUAACCCAACCUCGGACAUCAAGAAUUCCGACAUGCGCAGCUUCCGACCACCUGAAAGUCUUCUUCAGGAACUCCACCUUAGCAGCAAUCUUCUCCUCGCUGAGGAAUGCGACAGCCAGCAGCGCGUGCCUGAACAUCGCAGAGCCACGGGGCACACCGACAUCUUCGGCACGCGCCACCAUGGCCUGGAUGCGCUCUGGCUUACUGGUGAGCAGCCUCGGCACGGGGAUGCAUAGCUUGGCAAUAUCACAGUCACCUAA
rnacentral:rRNA from 1 species